AAUGGAUAAAGAAAAGGGCCUUCUGAAGUGCAAGUUCAGUUUCAAAGCCCUUCCAGAUGGUUCUCUCGACAAGACUGAAGUUAUUAACCUGACUCCGCCAGAUGGAUCCCUUCGCGUUUGCUCGGCAUAUCCAUCUGGGGACUUUCUGUUGGAGAACUUUGAAUAAACCAUCUCUCUAUAACCACCUCUGUUGGUGAUAGACAGGCCAAAUCAACCAAUCAGAUGACGUAUGACGUUCUUACAGAGUGACGACGACAAUACAACCACAAGUCAGGAUACCCCUGCGGCAAAGCAUAGCUCAGCAAGUCGAGCAACAUGUCGGUAAAGGAUAUUUGCCGUUAGUGUAACAAGAAUUUAUGAAUGAAAGGGACCAUUUCAGGUUCCCGGUCCAUAUUCCAAAAGAAGGAUCCCAAAGAAAAAAGCAUUAGUGAGCGGCUAACAGAAUUAGGGCUACCUCUGUCUGAAAAUCCUGGUUAGCUGUGGAUAAACUACACCACCUA